CCUCAGGAUUUUGUCAUCUUCUUCUUGCAGGUGAAGUGUCAAAAAUGUGGACACGCAUCUCAUGAAUGUGAAUCUUGCUGGUGGAUCAAAGUGGAUUCAUUUAAAAUAAAAACAAACAGGCAUUCGUCUCAGGUUACAGAAACGUUGCUCUGUGUCUGCUCACGUCAAGCAGCUGUUAAUGUGUCCGCACUGUGUUUAAGUCUUGUUCAACAAGGUUAAGGUGUUUCAGACCAGCAGCUACUGCAACACCUUGUAGAGAUGUGAAGGUGGAGUUUCUGAGAGGAAGUGCAGAUGUCAGUCAGUCAGUCUGUCUGUCUGUUGCUGUUGGUACAGGAUGCAGUUAGCAACGUUCUGCCUGACGCUGUCCUGUCUCCGGGUCAGCCCUGAUAGGUCUCAGUUCUUCAGGUACGACUUCAUCUCUCUGAGCUGUGAGGAUCAGCUGAACUCGACCGGUUGGAAGGUGAAGAGGAAAACGGCGGCGGGCGGAGUCAUGCCCUGCUCCUCCAGCUGGGGCUCUGCCUCCUCGGGCUCUACCUGCAUCAUCAGAAACGCCUACCCCUCUGACAGCGGGCUCUACUGGUGUCAGUCUGGAGACGGGGAGAAGAGCAAUGGCGUCAACAUCACCAUCACUGAUCGCACUGUGAUCCUGGAGAGUCCUGCCCUCCCUGUGUCGGAGGGAGCUGCUGUCGUCCUGCGCUGCAAAGCUGAGGCCAAGUCCUCCGACCACAGGUUUAAUUUCUAUAAAAAUGACCGAGCCAUCAGUACGAACUCCACAGGACAGAUGACCAUCCACAGUGCUUCCAAAGCUGAUGAAGGACUCUACAAGUGCAGCAUCUCUGGUGGUGGAGAAUCACUCAGCAGCUGGCUGGCUGUUGAAGCUUCUCCUCCACCUUCGGCUUCACCUCCACCUGACAAUUCCACUUCAGUUUCUGUCUCCAGACUGAUGUGUCACCUGGUGGUGGGAACUCCUUACCUGCUGUCCACCAUCUUGCUGGGAUUCAUAUACAAAGACAGGAAGCGAGACUCGUCAGUGAGUGAGUGAGUCAUUUUAGAAAGGCAGACAUCGUACUCGACCUUAUUUCUUGUGAUGGUUAGCCUGCGAUACAAACGUCCACAAUCUCAUCAACUGCUUCAUUUGGAUGUAAAGUCCAACACUGCAACAUAAGCAGAAACCAAGUCGCUGUCUUUCUGCUCACAGCAGCUCGGAUGGUUGCAGAGAGAAGAGGCAGCAACGAUGUCAUCAUGGAAAUAGUCGUAUAGGCCUGCAAACUGGUAAAAGAAAGUCUGUGUCAUAUGACCUGGCACCACAAAAAGUCUCUGCGGCCGAUUUUUACCACCAACAUUCAUUUGAAUUAUAUGCAGUGUUUGAUGCCAGCAGAGACUGCAGAGACAAUCCAACGAGUUUACAAAGUCAUGUGACAACAAAAUUUUAAGCCAAAACAUGGUUUUAACCCCAACCCCAAUGUGGUUUUUGUACCUAAACCUAAUCUGAGCUUAAGCACACAAAAUAAACUUUAUGUUCCAACAUA